rnacentral:rRNA from 1 species
GAUGAACGCUGGCGGCGUGCUUAACACAUGCAAGUCGAACGAGAAGUGAAGACGGAAACCUUCGGGCGGAAGGCUUUAUUUCGAGUGGCGGACGGGUGAGUAACGCGUGGGUAACCUGCCUCAUACAGGGGGAUAACAGUUGGAAACGACUGUUAAUACCGCAUAAGACCACAGCACCGCAUGGUGCGGGGGUAAACACUCCGGUGGUAUGAGAUGGACCCGCGUUCGAUUAGCCAGUUGGCGGGGUAACGGCCCACCACAGCGACGAUCGAUAGCCGAUCUGAGAGGCUGACCGGGCACAUUGGGACUGAGACACGGCCCAAACUCCUACGGGAGGCAGCAGUGGGGAAUAUUGCAAAAUGGGGGAAACCCUGAUGCAGCGACGCCGCGUGAGUGAAGAAGUAUUUCGGUAUGUAAAGCUCUAUCAGCAGGGAAGAAAAUGACGGUACCUGAGUAAGAAGCCCCGGCUAACUACGUG